ACUAUUUUGGCAGAAAAGUGUGGUGAUUUUAGAAUUCAUGAAUGUAUAAUUUGAUAUUAUAUGAAUAGUA
rnacentral:tRNA from 1 species